UACGAAGGGGGCUAGCGUUGUUCGGAAUUACUGGGCGUAAAGGGCGCGUAGGCUGUGCUGUAAGUCAGGCGUGAAAGCCCCGGGCUCAACCUGGGAAUUGCGCUUGAUACUGCGGCGCUGGAAGGUGGGAGAGGAUGGCGGAAUUCCCAGUGUAGAGGUGAAAUUCGUAGAUAUCGGGAGGAACACCGGUGGCGAAGGCGGCGACCUGGGUAGAUACUGACGCUGAGGCGCGAAAGCGUGGGGAGCAAACAGG
rnacentral:rRNA from 1 species